UUGCUACUAUUUAUUUUACCCUUUAUUUUGUUUAAAAUUUAAAAUUUUCAAAUCAUUUUUAUUAAUUUUCUUUUAAAAUUAAGAAGUGGGUUCCUUUCCCACUGUCGUCAAAGCGAGUUGAAAUCUUCUGCACCCAAAAGCCACUGUGGCUACCUUGUAGCCUCUCUCAGGAUUUGACACCUGUCCGCUACUAACUUCACUUUUAAACACUGUUAACUCUCUGAACAAAUUUAAAAAAAAGACAACAAUAAGCGUAAAACCAGAAGCUCAUCCGUCCCUGAUCUCUCCCACCGAACGCCAAACGCCGACCACCACCAAAGCAUCCCACAACCAUCCCUCUCGGCCUCUUGAUUGAGAAUAUCGCUGUAUUCUUCCAGAUCCCCGAUACUACAAACCCACUUCAAGACCCGCCAUAUCCGUGAGGUCGGCGGCUACCAGUCGGCGUUACGAGAAAUCGAAGCCCUCCGCCGCCAUUGAUGGGGCUUUUCCCAGUAUAUUCUUUCGCGCUUUAAUCUUUGUACAAUUACAAAACCAUCACUUGGAAGAAGACGACUUUUGGUGUUGGGAGGAUAAUGAGGACGGUGGCGACGACCGUCCGAUGAUUGGAAGCCAUGUGCUAUAAAUUUGGAAUUUGAAAGGAAAGCUGUGGUAGAUAGGUUGUAGGGGUGAAGAUGGCAGGGAAGGGAGGAAGGAGGAGGCGCUAUGGUUUCUGUGGGUUGAGAGGUAGAAGAGGGUGAGAUUGAGAGAGCUGAGAGAGCAAAUAGAUGGAUCUUUUUUUUUCUUUUUUUUUUUUAUAAUCUUUUUCAGAGUUAACGGUGUUAAACUAGAGUUAGUAGUUGACAGGUGUCAAACUCUAAGAAAGGCCACAGGGAUGUCACAGAGGCUUUUGGGUGCAGAAAAUUUCAACUCCGUCAAAGCCGGCCUUCUUUCUUCUUCUGCAAAUAUCAUCAUGACCCUUCUAUCUUUUCAGCAAUAUCAUCAUUAUAUUAAAUACUUUUCUUUUGUAUGCAAGUGGGGGUCGUCUGAUUUGGUAAGGUCAAGUGGGGGUCGUCUGAUUGGCGUAAGUUACGGAGCAGGUGGGUGUAACAUGUAUUUGGCCUCGGAAGUUUCGCAGCAACAUCCGCGCACCCUCGUCACACCUAAGUCCCAGUAACCAAGACUAGAUUGUAACACCACAUUUUUGGUGCGCUGGUCAAGCCGCCACGUGAACCAGUCACUUAACAGAUAGUUUUCUAAGAGAAAUUUUUAGUUGUGACAAAAACACGAAUAGUACACCACGUGUUGUUAUGCAAGUGAUGAAAAAUUUUAAUUUUUAAAUUAUUAACCUUAUAACACAUAUAACCCAUC
rnacentral:lncRNA from 1 species